rnacentral:rRNA from 1 species
UCGUGAAGUGUUCGGAUCGUGGCGACGUGGGCGGUUCGCUGCCGGCGACGUCGCGAGAAUUCCACUGAACCUUAUCAUUUAGAGGAAGGAGAAGUCGUAACAAGGUUUCCGUAGGUGAACCUGCGGAAGGAUCAUUGUCGAACCCUGCACAGCAGAACGACCCGUGAACAAGUUAAACAACCGGCCUCGCAGGGACCGAAGCUUUUGUUUCGAUCCUCGUGGAGCCUUGUCGACGUGUGUUCAUGUUCACCCCUUUGGGGCAACAUGGGCAUCAGGUUGACGCCUAACAACCCCCGGCACGGCAUGUGCCAAGGAAAACUAAACUUAAAGGGCCCGUGCUUUGAUGCCCCGUUUGCGGUGUGUGGAUUGUGCGUGGCUUCUUUGUAAACCUAAACGACUCUCGGCAACGGAUAUCUCGGCUCACGCAUCGAUGAAGAACGUAGCAAAAUGCGAUACUUGGUGUGAAUUGCAGAAUCCCGUGAACCAUCGAGUUUUUGAACGCAAGUUGCGCCCGAAGCCUUUCGGUUGAGGGCACGUCUGCCUGGGCGUCACGCAUCACGUCGCCCCCACCAACAUCCCAAACUGGGCUCUGUUAGGUUGGGGUGGAUAUUGGUCUCCUGUGCCCAUGGUGUGGUUGGCCUAAAUAAGAGUCUCCUCACGGGGGACGCACGACUAGUGGUGGUUGAUAUGACAGUCGUCUCGGGUCGUGCGUUUUCAUUCUCGAGUGGAGGCACUCUUAAAAUACCUGUUGUAUUGUCUUGUGGCGAUGCUUCGAUCGCGACCCCAGGUCAGGCGGGACUACCCGCUGAGUUUAAGCAUAUCAAUAAGCGGAGGAAAA